GCCAGGCACAGGUGGCGUGUGCCUGUAGUCCCAGCUACUCGGGAGGCUGAGGGUGGAGAAUCGCUUGAGCCCAGGAGUUCUGGGCUGUAGUGCCCUAUACUGAUUGGGUAUCUGCACUAAGUUCGGCAUCAAUAUGGUGACCUCCCAGGAGCAGGCGACCACCAGGUUGCCUAAAGAGGGGUGAAUCGGCCCAGGUCGGAAAUGGAGCAGGUCAAAACUCCCAUGCUGAUCAGUAGAGGGAUUGCGCCUGUGAAUAGCCACUGCACUCCAGCCUGGGCAACAUAGCGAGACCCUGUCUCU
rnacentral:SRP_RNA from 1 species